AUUGAACGCUGGCGGCAUGCCUUACACAUGCAAGUCGAACGGCAGCACGGGAGCAAUCCUGGUGGCGAGUGGCGAACGGGUGAGUAAUAUAUCGGAACGUGCCCAGUCGUGGGGAUAACGUAGCGAAAGCUACGCUAAUACCGCAUACGAUCUACGGAUGAAAGCGGGGGAUCGCAAGACCUCGCGCGAUUGGAGCGGCCGAUAUCAGAUUAGGUAGUUGGUGAGGUAAAGGCUCACCAAGCCGACGGAUCUGUAGCUGGUCUGAGAGGACGACCAGCCACACUGGGACUGAGACACGGCCCAGACUCCUACGGGAGGCAGCAGUGGGGAAUUUUGGACAAUGGGCGCAAGCCUGAUCCAGCAAUGCCGCGUGCAGGAUGAAGGCCU
rnacentral:rRNA from 1 species